GGGGACGUAGCUCAACUGGUAGAGCGCAACGCUGGCAGCGUUGAGGUAAGGGGUUCGACCCCCCUCGUCUCCACCA
rnacentral:tRNA from 6 species